rnacentral:rRNA from 1 species
GCGCAGAUAUCAGGAGGAACACCAGUGGCGAAGGCGGUUCUCUGGGCCUUUCCUGACGCUGAGGAGCGAAAGCGUGGGGAGCGAACAGGCUUAGAUACCCUGGUAGUCCACGCUGUAAACGGUGGGUACUAGGUGUGGGGUCCAUUCCACGGGUUCCGCGCCGUAGCUAACGCUUUAAGUACCCCGCCUGGGGAGUACGGCCGCAAG